rnacentral:rRNA from 1 species
AAUAGAUACCCCGGUAGUCCACGCCGUAAACGAUGAGUGCUAAGUGUUAGAGGGUUUCCGCCCUUUAGUGCUGAAGUUAACGCAUUAAGCACUCCGCCUGGGGAGUACGGCCGCAAGGCUGAAACUCAAAGGAAUUGACGGGGGCCCGCACAAGCGGUGGAGCAUGUGGUUUAAUUCGAAGCAACGCGAAGAACCUUACCAGGUCUUGACAUCCUCUGACAACCCUAGAGAUAGGGCUUCUCCUUCGGGAGCAGAGUGACAGGUAGUGCAUGGUUGUCGUCAGCUCGUGUCGUGAGAUGUUGGGUUAAGUCCCGCAACGAGCGCAACCCUUGAUCUUAGUUGCCAUCAUUCAGUUGGGCACUCUAAGGUGACUGCCGGUGACAAACCGGAGGAAGGUGGGGAUGACGUCAAAUCAUCAUGCCCCUUAUGACCUGGGCUACACACGUGCUACAAUGGACAGUACAAAGAGCUGCAAGACCGCGAGGUGGAGCUAAUCUCAUAAAACCGUUCUCAGUUCGGAUUGU